rnacentral:rRNA from 1 species
CAGGUCGCCGCGGGAAUACAGAGGGUGCGAGCGUUAAUCGGAUUUACUGGGCGUAAAGCGUGCGUAGGCGGCUUUUUAAGUCGGAUGUGAAAUCCCUGAGCUUAACUUAGGAAUUGCAUUCGAUACUGGGAAGCUAGAGUAUGGGAGAGGAUGGUAGAAUUCCAGGUGUAGCGGUGAAAUGCGUAGAGAUCUGGAGGAAUACCGAUGGCGAAGGCAGCCAUCUGGCCUAAUACUGACGCUGAGGUACGAAAGCAUGGGGAGCAAACAGGAUUAGAGACCCCCGUAGUCCCUGUCUCUUAUA